rnacentral:rRNA from 1 species
CUAUCCUGGCUGAGUUUGAUCCUGGCUCAGAUUGAACGCUGGCGGCAGGCCUAACACAUGCAAGUCGAGCGGAUGAGUGGAGCUUGCUCCAUGAUUCAGCGGCGGACGGGUGAGUAAUGCCUAGGAAUCUGCCUGGUAGUGGGGGACAACGUUUCGAAAGGAACGCUAAUACCGCAUACGUCCUACGGGAGAAAGCAGGGGACCUUCGGGCCUUGUGCUAUCAGAUGAGCCUAGGUCGGAUUAGCUAGUUGGUGAGGUAAUGGCUCACCAAGGCGACGAUCCGUAACUGGUCUGAGAGGAUGAUCAGUCACACUGGAACUGAGACACGGUCCAGACUCCUACGGGAGGCAGCAGUGGGGAAUAUUGGACAAUUGGCGAAAGCCUGAUCCAGCCAUGCCGCGUGUGUGAAGAAGGUCUUCGGAUUGUAAAGCACUUUAAGUUGGGAGGAAGGGCAUUAACCUAAUACGUUAGUGUUUUGACGUUACCGACAGAAUAAGCACCGGCUAACUUCGUGCCAGCAGCCGCGGUAAUACGAAGGGUGCAAGCGUUAAUCGGAAUUACUGGGCGUAAAGCGCGCGUAGGUG